rnacentral:rRNA from 1 species
UGGGGAAUAUUGCACAAUGGGCGCAAGCCUGAUGCAGCCAUGCCGCGUGUGUGGAGAAGGCCUUCGGGUUGUAAAGCACUUUCAGCGGGGAGGAAGGCGGUGAGGUUAAUAACCUCAUCGAUUGACGUUACCCGCAGAAGAAGCACCGGCUAACUCCGUGCCAGCAGCCGCGGUAAUACGGAGGGUGCAAGCGUUAAUCGGAAUUACUGGGCGUAAAGCGCACGCAGGCGGUCUGUCAAGUCGGAUGUGAAAUCCCCGGGCUCAACCUGGGAACUGCAUUCGAAACUGGCAGGCUAGAGUCUUGUAGAGGGGGGUAGAAUUCCAGGUGUAGCGGUGAAAUGCGUAGAGAUCUGGAGGAAUACCGGUGGCGAAGGCGGCCCCCUGGACAAAGACUGACGCUCAGGUGCGAAAGCGUGGGGAGCAAACAGG